AAACACCAGUUCACAUUUGAUCACCAUAGUUAAGCAAUGUUGAGCUCAGUCAGUACUAAAAUAGGUAACCACUUUGGAAUAUUGGGUACUGUA